AGAAACUUAGGAUAACUUAUAAACCAAGAGCCUUCAAAGCCCAAAAUAUGGAUUUAACCCCAUAGUUUCU
rnacentral:tRNA from 1 species